rnacentral:snoRNA from 1 species
GUGAUGAGCCGCCAGUGUCCGAAAAUUGACGAGCUCACCCUUUGCUGA